rnacentral:rRNA from 1 species
UAGCCUUGACAUUGAAGAAAUAGACCAGAGAUGGACUAGUGCCCUUCGGGGAAUCUGAAAACAGGUGCUGCACGGCUGUCGUCAGCUCGUGUCGUGAGAUGUUGGGUUAAGUCCCGCAACGAGCGCAACCCUCGUCCUUAGUUGCUAGCAGUUCGGCUGAGCACUCUAAGGAGACUGCCUUCGUAAGGAGGAGGAAGGUGAGGACGACGUCAAGUCAUCAUGGCCCUUAUGGCUAGGGCUACACACGUGCUACAAUGGGGCGUACAGAGUGUUGCGAUACCGCGAGGUGGAGCUAAUCACUUAAAGCGUCUCUCAGUUCGGAUUGGAGUCUGCAACUCGACUCCAUGAAGCUGGAAUCACUAGUAAUCGUAGAUCAGCAAUGCUACGGUGAAUACGUUCACCGGGUCU